GUUAUUAUAGCUUAAGGGUAAAGCCAUGUACUGUUAAUACAUUGAUCUAGGUUCGAUUCCUAGUAAUAACG